GACUUGAGUAGUUCACCUCUUCAGCUCUGC
rnacentral:piRNA from 1 species